GUAAGUUCUCAGUAAGCAGCAGUUUUUAUUCCUCUGCCUAUGUGGGUACAGCGCUUGCCCCAGAUUAUUUGAUUUUAUCUGGACCACGAUUCAGAAGGACCCUGUAUGUCCGGAUCAGAGCCCCGAAGACAGCCCAUCCCGUACGUUGGUUAUUCAUGGAUCCGUCCAUCCACUGCUUCUCAGCCCCCUUGAUUUCCAGCGCGGCUCGACAAGGAAGUCUGCUCGGUCUCCCCCAGCUCCACAAGCUGUCAGCGGCGCUCCAUUAUCUGCCACAUCCCUUUCCUCCUGGCCGUCUUUCUUUCCAAACGGCAGCUACCAGAUCUGCCUGGGAUGGAAGUCUGGGAGGCAGGGACACAAACACAGACUCUUGAGUCAGACGGCUCCAAGUUCAAAUGCUGGGACCCUACGUCGACAGGCUGGUUGAUGAGAUCUUUGCUCCCAUCUCUCCUCUCGUCACCUGUGUCAGAAUGCGACACUGUUGCCCAUUGGGGACCAGCUACUAAUUAUUUUAGACUGCGAAGGCCAGAUGGUCUCUGUCGCAACUCCUUAACUCCAGCCGUGCAGAGCACAGCAGCCAGACUGUUGGCAAACAAAGUCCAGCGGGAAUGAAGCUGGGGAUAAGGAUGGAGGCAAGAGGCAAGAUUUGGAGACACAGCUGUGCUUCCCGGAAUCACACAAUGCGGCAGCUCUCAUGUCACACCUGACAGAGAGAGCACGAGGAGGAGAGGGUCAGAGAGAAAGGGA